AUGGACGGACGAGGGCUCGGCAGAAUGGACCUGCGGAGGACGGGGCGGGUAAAGAGUCGAAGGCGGAUACGGAAGCGUAAGAGGGGACAACGAAGAAGAUGCAGACGACGAGCCCACUAUCAGCAUCUGGGGAACGGAACACCCUUUGCUGCCUGCCUUGCGUCCUUUGCCCUUCUGAGUCUUGGUGGUGGGUGGGGCUUGCCUGUUGGUGUCGAAGGGCAUUUCAACAUGACAUGGGCCCCGCUGGGACAAGUGAUACCCACCUACUGGGCUUUGACACCGCAUCUGCCCGUUUUUCAACUUAUGACGUGGGAUCACGAGGCGAGCCCACUUUUCCUUUCUGGCAACGCAUCUUGGUUAACAGGUGACUCAGGACUGGCGGUUCCUAUUGUCUCCAAAACUGGUAUGAACGUUACUUGGACUUCUGCGGCGUUGCCUUUGUGCUUAUCCCCUUCCAAUAUCUCGAAUAGCAGCAUUUCUCAGCUGUGUUAUCCUCUCUCGAAUUGGUCUAUUUCCCAACCUUCCUUUCUAGAAUCAGAGUUAUUGAAUGCUACUUAUGGUUCCUUAAACAUAACUCUCGCCUCUUUGAUUCGCAAUUUCAGUAAUAACCAUACUGUUACUACUUCGCUACCCCCUUGUCCACUUACCGCCCCUCAUAUAUUCGAACCCCUUCAUGCUUGUAGUACAGGAAACUUUAGUAGGUUGAACAAUACUAACGAAUCUAUAUGGUUUGCCGAUAAUUAUCCACGAACUUCUAUACUUCCUGCACCCAUCCCCUUUAAAGAAAAGGCACCCUUGCAAAGCCAUUGGUGGAAGGCAGGUCUUGCUCUUCAUCCUACCUUUGUUCGCUACACUCAGACCGCUGCCAAAGUACAGCACGGUUUCCUUUUGCAACAUGGCAUAAGAUUUUUGGGAACAAAAAUAGUACUUGUCAUAAGACGGAUGCUACCACAGCUACUGACAUUCUUUGUUAUACUUUUACAGCCGAGGCACAAACGACACCUGAUGCUCUCUUCCUUUUGUGCCCUCCAGGGAACUUCACCAUUUCACUUGUGCCCCAGGCAAAUAAUAAAACCAGUUACACUAUUCGCUGUACUAACGCUACCUUGA
rnacentral:lncRNA from 1 species